rnacentral:rRNA from 1 species
UACGAAGGGGGCUAGCGUUGCUCGGAAUGACUGGGCGUAAAGGGCGCGUAGGCGGAUGGCUUUGUCGGGCGUGAAAUUCCAGGGCUUAACCUUGGGGCUGCGUUCGAGACGGGUUGUCUAGAGUUUGGAAGAGGGUCGUGGAAUUCCCAGUGUAGAGGUGAAAUUCGUAGAUAUUGGGAAGAACACCGGUGGCGAAGGCGGCGACCUGGUCCUUGACUGACGCUGAUGCGCGAAAGCGUGGGGAGCAAACAGG